rnacentral:rRNA from 1 species
CGUCUCUUCCCAUCCUGGGGGUGCAGCAGCCCCCAAGGGUGGGGCUGCCCGCCCAUUAAAGGGGAACGUGAGAUGGGUUUAGACCGUCGUGAGACAGGUCGGACUCUACCUGCCGGGGGUGUUGGCCGCCUGAGGGGAAGGUGUCCCCAGUACGAGAGGAACGGGACGCCGCGGCCUCUAGUCUACCGGUUGUCCGGCAGGGCAAUGCCGGGCAGCCACGCCGUACGGGGAUAAGGGCUGAAGGCAUCUAAGCCCGAAGCCCUCCCCGAGACGAGGCGGCCAUUCCCCGAC